rnacentral:lncRNA from 1 species
GGAGUUAUUGUCUUAAAUCGACGGUCAGACCGGUUCAUGCGACUCUCUAGUUUAGUGUGAAACCACGUCAUUCUUUUUUUUUUUUGUCAACAUAUUUUUUAUUAUGCCUCUAGGGCCAAUACGUAAACAAGUAGAUACAACAGCCAUCCUAAUAUACAUUCAGUCCAUAUCGAAACCCAACCGAACAAAAGAUAAGAUUAAAACCACGUGUUCGCUAAUAUAAAAACUCUAAAGCAUGAACGACACGUGUACAGUUAGAUGGGUCACGAUGUUUCUAGAGUCAAAGAAAUAGCACUGUCAGUCUCGCCGGAGACAUGCCGGAACGGGAACUUUCAGUAACUUUCUUCGACUAGUUGAAUCUACUUGACUGUUCCUCGUAUCGCUGUUCGCCGUCAAUUAUGCUCGAUUCUUCAUCCGCUCGUUACAAGUGAACUCCGGUGAAUAGCUUCAAAGGGAUGAAAGCUGGGCCUUGCCAAAACGUUUCUGAUAAAGAAACUCCAGCUAAUCUGAGCUUGCUUCUUCUCUCUACGCUUAAUCAAACAACUUAAUCUCUAACACACAAUGGAUACUCCGUCAUAAAAUUCUGCACGCUAAGAUUAAUACCAUAUAUGGGAAGGAAAAAGUGUGAUUAACUAGAAGACUGGAAUCUAACAAAAUCAAACGGGAUAUUGAUUUGCAAAGGAUAGAGAAAUCGGGUUUGGAAAACACACAACAAAAGUCACCUUGCAAAGUUUUUAUCCGAUAAACGGAAGAAAAGAGUCGCCUAACGAAAAUAUUUACAAACAAAAACAAAAAAGGGGUUGGUGACCGGCGGUGGUGAACCCACCGGCCACUAGGAUUGAUUUUUUUUUUUUAACGAAGACUUAGAGAGAGGUUAGAGAAAACAAAGGAAGAGAGAGAGGUUAUUGAAACCACGUCAUUCUAAUAUGACUCAUCCAAUAAAAAGCCAAUAAAUUCUCUUAAUUUUUU